ACAGAUCGUAAAUCCCCCUUCUAAACCAACUUUUAUAUCAGGGUUUUACGCAUUUUGCAUUUUGCCCUAAAAUUGACAGAAAAUUUAGCAACAUAUACUCCUGAAUUCUUCGAGUUUCGAAGGAAUCUCCAAUCAAGCUAGCCAAGAGUGGAAGUGCUGAAGAUAAAUGACGGCGGCGAGAAAAAUUGGGGAUUUGGCGUUCAAAGCGUUCACGGCGGGGCUCGGCGUCGCCACCAUAUAUCUAACCGCUACUUUCUCCUUCAACGUCUACCGCGGCCUCGCUUGGCACUCCGCUCAAACGAAGGCUGAGAAGGAGGGCUCCUCUAAUCAAAAUGCAGAAUGAUUUUGAGACUCGAUUUCACUAGUCCUAUACCAGUAAUUUUGAUUCAUUUGAAGAUACGAACUAUGGAAUAACGCUGUCUACUCUACGUGUGGUUAAGUUGCUUGAAUCUGAGAUGGUAUGAAUCGAGUUAGACUAAAAGCAUGUAACAGCAAAUUCGAACCAUUAUCAUAUGAAUUACGCAAUUAUUUUUCAAGAUAAUGCGUGAAAGUUUACUACAAAUUGAUUUUUCUGUUCAUGUUACUAUGAGAAGAAAAACGUUUAUCACGAUGCAAAGUGAUACGUGGCUACUUUUCUGUUCCAUUUUAUUGUGUGCAAAGUAAAUUAAAUACUAAAGUUAAUGCUUGGCUAA